rnacentral:lncRNA from 1 species
CUCGGAAAAGGAUACUUUUCACUCACAAAUAUAUUUAUACAUGUCUGUUAGCAGUUUAAGCUGAACAGAAAUAUUGUUUGGGAAACUAGUUCUGUGUUCUUUUUCUCCUCAUUUAUGACUUUCCUCUUCCAACUGAUUCUUCAGAAAGUUUGGCCUUUCAUAUUACUCUCCAGUACAUCUUUCUUGAAAAAUAUAAGUUCCUUUGUACCUCUUUCUUGGUUGCCCCAUCCCAAUACAAAACAGCUUCUAAAUCCCUAAGUCUAAUCUUACUUAAAACAGAUACCUGCCAUGCAAGAUGAAGAAACUGUUUGUACUAAAUAAGAAGUUGUACACUACUGGUGUGAAGUUUAGUUGGAUUUUAUAUAAAAUAUUUUUAUAGCCAUAGUUGGCAAAUUUUAACUUUGUUUAAGUAAAUUUCUGAAUGCAUGCCCAUGCUGAUUUUGUU